rnacentral:rRNA from 1 species
CGCGACCCAGGUCAGGCACCGAACACCCGCUUGAGUUUAGCAUAUCAAUAAGCGGUAGAGCGAAAAGAAACUUACCAGGAUUCCCCUAGUAACGCUGAGCGACACCGGGAAGAGACCCGCGGAAGAGCCCAGCUUGAGGAAUCGGGCGCCCUCGGCGUCGAAUUGUAGUCUUGGAGAAGCCGUCCUACAGCGGCGGACCGGGCCCAAGUCCCCUGGAAAGGGGGCCCGGCAGAGGAGUGAGAGCCCCGUCUGUGCCGGGACCCUGUCCACACGCAGGCCGCUGUCUGCGAGUCGGGUUGUUUGGAAAUGCAGCCCCAAUCGGGCGGUUUAAAUUCCAGGUCCAAGGCUAUAAACGUGCGAAUGAGACGAUAGGCGAACAAGUACCGCGAGGGAAAGAUGAAAAAGGACCUUUGAAAAGAGAGUCAAAGAGAUUUGCUUGAAAUUGUCGGAGGAAGCGGUAUGGGGGCCGGCGAUGUGCGCCCCCCGUCGGAUGCUGGAACGGCUGAACAAAGCCGGUCCGCCGAUCGGCCGGGCGCGCGGACCGACCGCGUGAUCGCGGCGGCGGCCCAAGCUCCGCGCACUAGAAACGCCCGCGGAGACGCUUCGUCGCAAGCGAUCGGUGGACAUCAGCGCGCGCGCGUCAACGUCGCUGCCCCCGGACCCGCGCGCUGCACUUGGCGUCGGCCAGCGGGCUCCCCAUUCGGCCCUGAUCUUGAAACACGGACAAGGAAGUCUGACAUGUGUGCGAGUCACGGCGAUGGUAAACCCGUAAGGCGCAAGGAAAGUCUGACGUGGGGAUCCCCUCUGAGGGUUGGCACCGCACCGAACCGACUCGAUCUUCGAGAAGGGUGUCGAGUGACCGAGCAUGCCUGUUCGGACCCGAAGAUGGUGAACUAUGCCUGGAGCGGGCUGCGAAGCCAGUAGGAAACUCUUUGGUGGACGGCCGCAGCGAUCAUGACGUGCAAAAUCGUUCGUCUGACUUGGGUAAUAGGGGCGACAAGACUAAGUCAACCGUCUAGUAGCUGGUUCCCUCCGAAGUUUCCAUCAGAAGCUGGAGCUCGGGACGAGUUCUAUCGGGUAAAGCCAUAUGAUUUAGAGGCAUCGGGGGCGCAACGCCUCGACCUAUUCUCAACUUUAAAUAGGUAGGACGGCGCGGCUGCUUCGUCUAGCGGCGCCAACGGACAUCGAGAAGCUCCAACGUGGGCCACUUCCUUCUCCGCACCUCAACCGCACCGCAACUUGGCCGCACUCGCGGGUCGAACGGAAGCCGGGCUUACCCGGUGCCCAAACUGCGCGCUAACCCAGAACCCCAAAGGACUCUGCUUGGUCGAUUAAGACGCAGUGACGGGUGGUCAUGUGAAGUCGAAAUCCGCUAAGAGAUGUGUAACAACUCACCUGCCGAAUCAAACUAGCCACCGAAAUGGAUAGGCGCUUAAGCGCGCGACUAUACCGGCCGUCGGGCAAGUAGCCAGGCCCGCAUGAGUUAGGAGGGCGCGGCCCGCGCUGCAAAACCCGGGGCGCCCGAGGCCGCCGGCGCGAAGGGCGUCGGUGCAGAUUCUUCGGUGUGGUCCAGUAGCAAAUAUUCAAAUUGAGAACUUGAAAGCCGAAGAGCGUGGAAAAGGUUCCAUGUGAACGGCACUUGCACAUGGGUUAAGGUCGAUCCUAAGAGACGGCGGAAGCCCGUCCGACAGCGCGUGUCCGCGCGCGAGCUUUUCGAAAGGGAAAUGGCUGUAUAAAUUCCCGAACCGGACGCGGCGGCUGACUGGCAACGUUAGGGAGUCCGGAGACUACGGCGGGGGCCUCGGGUAAGAGUUAUCUUUUCUGUUUAACAGCCUCGCCCACCCUGGCAAACGACUCAGUCGGAGGUAAGGGUCCAGCGGCCGAAAGAAGCAACCGCACGUCCCCGCGCCCGGGUCUGUCCGGUGCGCCGCCCGGCGGCCCGUGAAAAUCCAGGGAGGACCGAGUGCUCCCGCGCCACCCGGUCCGUACUCUAUACACCCGCAUCAGGUCUCCAAGUGAACAGUGCCUCUGGCAAUUGGGAACAAUUGUAGGCAAGGGAAGUCGGCCCAAAACGGAUCCGUAACCCGGGAAAAAGGAAUUGGCUCUGAGGGCUGGGCCGGGGGUCUCCAUCCCAAUCCCGUCGGCUGUCGGCGGACUGCUCACCUCCCGCGCCAGAGCGGAUCCCGGCCUUCAGGCGUGCCGGCCCGGGCGACGGGACUGGAACGGCCCUCCGGGGCCUUCCUCCGGGCGUCGAACAGUUCGGACUUCAGAACUCGUUUACGGACAAGGGGGAAAUCCGACUGCUAUAAUUAAAACAAAGGCAUUGCGAUGCGUCCCUGCGGAUGCUCACGCAAUGUGAUUUCUGCCCAGUGCUCUGCAAUGUGCAAAGUUGAAAGAAAUUCAACCAAGCGCGGGUUUAAACGCGGAGAGUAACUAUGACUCUCUUAACGGUAGCCAAAUGCCUUCGUCAUUCCUAAUUAGUACGCGCUUAAUAAUGGAUUAACGAGAGAUUCCCACUGUCCCUGUCUACUAUCAGCGGAACCCACAGCCAACGGGAACGGCUUGGCGGAAUCAGCGGGGAAAGAAGACCCUGUUGAGCUUGACUUAGUCCGACUUUGUGAAAAUGACUUGAGAGGUGCUAGCGCAUAAGUGGACCCCCUAGCCGGAAACUAGGCGACGGUGAAAUACCACUACUUUUAACGUUAUUUUACUUAUUCCGUGAAUCGGAGGCGGCGGCCUCUGCCCCUCUUUUUGGAACCCAAAGCCGCCAACGGCGGACCGAUGCGGGCGGAAGACAUUGUCACGGCUGGGGAGUUUGGGCUGGGCGGCAAACAUCUGUUAAAGAAUAACGCAGGUGUCCUAAGAUGAGCUCAACGAGAACAGAAAUCUCGUGCUGCGAACAAAGGGUAAGCUCGUUUGAUUUCUCGAUCUUUCCAGUACGAAUACGAACCGUGGAAAGCGUCUGGCCUAUCGAUCCAUUUAGACCUCGGAAUUUGAUAGCUAAAGUCGUCAGAAAAGUGUACCAAGGGAUAACUGGCUUUGCUUGGCAGCAAGACGCUUCAUAGCGACGUUGCUUGAUCUUCGAUGUCGCUCUUCCUUAGUCAUGUGAAGCAGCAAAUUCACCCAAGUUGUUGGAUUGUUCACCCACCAAUACUGGAACUGUGAGCUGGUUUUUAGUACCGUCGCUGAGACAGGUUAGUUUUUACCCUUAACAUAAAUACACGCGUCCGCGAUGUAAUUCAACCUAGUACGAAGAGGAACCGUGCAUUCCACAAACAUUGCCGUCAUCAGCGCUUGGUUUGAAAAGCCAGUGGCUCGCGAAGCUACCGUGCGCUGAUUAUGACUGAACUGCCUCUAAGUCAGCAUCCGGGCCAGAAGCGACGCUCCUACGUGCUCCGGCGCCCGGCUUUGCCGGCAAUACUCCGUCAUGUAGGGGUCCCUCGGCCACCCAGAGGCACGCACGUGGCCAAGCCCCCCGCGGCAGGUACGAGACCGCGCGUCGCANNN